UUUGUGCUCGAAGAAGGUAGGGAGAAGACCUGGGGCAGUAAUCGAGACAACGAAAGCUCAUCGAAGUCGUAUUCGCGUACCUUCGGUAAUUACAGAUACAGCAUGGCCAUGCAUCGCGACUCCUGUCCUUUGGACUGUAAAGUCUAUGUUGGGAACCUUGGUAACAAUGGUAACAAAACAGAAUUAGAAAGAGCGUUUGGCUACUAUGGCCCCCUACGGAGUGUGUGGGUUGCAAGAAACCCUCCUGGUUUUGCAUUUGUUGAAUUUGAAGACCCCAGAGAUGCGUCGGAUGCAGUUAGAGAGUUAGAUGGCAGAACACUGUGUGGAUGUCGAGUUAGAGUAGAGCUAUCCAAUGGUGAGAAAAGAAGUCGGAAUCGUGGGCCGCCUCCAUCUUGGAACAGACGUCCCCGGGAUGACUAUCGUCGCAGGAGUCCGCCACCGCGACGCAGAGUCACCAUCAUGUCUCUUCUCACCACCCUCUGGGUCUACAUUAGCCAGUCAACUAGCCCUUUCAGCGUCAUGUGACCAGCGCGCCCCAUUCAGCUUGGCUGGUGUCGUUUCACAUGACCCAGGCAUGGCCAGUCAUCAGGUUGCACCGCCCUUUGGUUCCCGAGCAUGCUGUCCACUCAGCCUUCCUCUCCAACCUUAACCAAAACUCUGCUGCAGCCCUCCUUCAGCGCCCACACAUUCCUGGCCAAUCAGCUCAGCUGUUAACUAUGUCAAAAUGUCUUCACAACAACUGCAGCGCCAGCCUUCGGCUAACCAAAAAAAGCAGGAAAAUUCCACAACAUCCCCCUUCGCCAACCAUCUAAAUUCAACGCAACUCCUGGCAAAACCUUUUCAACAAAUUCUACUUGGCCAUCUGUCCGGCAUCCUCACCAUUUCUAGCUUGUUGAAACCCUAAAACUAAUCUCCAAGAAGAAGAAGCUUUUCUCGUAGCCGCAGCAGAUCACUUUCAAGAGAACGGAGGAGAGAAAGAUCUCUGUCCAGGGAGAGAAAUCACAAGCCAUCUCGUUCAUUCUCUAGAUCACGAAG